AGAGUUUGAUCCUGGCUCAGAUUGAACGCUGGCGGCAUGCCUUACACAUGCAAGUCGAACGGCAGCACGGGGGCAACCCUGGUGGCGAGUGGCGAACGGGUGAGUAAUACAUCGGAACGUGCCCAUGUCGUGGGGGAUAACGUAGCGAAAGCUACGCUAAUACCGCAUACGAUCUACGGAUGAAAGCGGGGGACCGUAAGGCCUCGCGCGAUUGGAGCGGCCGAUGUCAGAUUAGGUAGUUGGUGGGGUAAAGGCUCGCCAAGCCGACGAUCUGUAGCUGGUCUGAGAGGACGACCAGCCACACUGGGACUGAGACACGGCCCACACUCCUACGGGAGGCAGCAGUGGGGAAUUUUGGACAAUGGGCGCAAGCCUGAUCCAGCAAUGCCGCGUGCAGGAAGAAGGCCUUCGGGUUGUAAACCGCUUUUGUCAGGGAAGAAAUCUUCUGGGUUAAUACCUCGGGAGGAUGACGGUACCUGAAGAAUAAGCACCGGCUAACUACGUGCCAGCAGCCGCGGUAAUACGUAGGGUGCAAGCGUUAAUCGGAAUUACUGGGCGUAAAGCGUGCGCAGGGCGGUUGUGCAAGACAGGUGUGAAAUCCCCGGGCUUAACCCUGAGAACUGCACUUGUGACUGCACAGCUAGAGUACGGCAGAGAGGGGGAAGGAAUUUCCGCGUGGUAGCAGUGAAAUGCGUAGAUUUGCGGAAGAACCCCGGAUGGCGAAGCCAUCCCCUUGGGCUUGUACUGACGCUCAUGCACGAGCGUGGGGGAGCAACAGGAUAGCUCCCUGUCAGUCCACGCCCUAAACGAUUCAGCUGUGUUGUUGUGGUCUCUCACUGACUCAUACGAGCCUAACGCGGUGAAGUCGACGCUGAGGAUACGGCCGUAGGUUGACUCAGAUUGACGCAACCGCAA
rnacentral:rRNA from 1 species